GAACCGUCCAAACGUUAUUCGGAAUCACUGGGCUUAAAGGGUGCGUAGGCGGCGCGGAAAGGUUGGGUGUGAGAUACCUCGGGCUCAACCGAGGAACUGCGCCCAAAACUGCCGUGCUCGAGGGAGAUAGAGGUGAGCGGAACUUAGGGUGGAGCGGUGAAAUGCGUUGAUAUCCUAAGGAACACCGGUGGCGAAGGCGGCUCACUGGAUCUCUUCUGACGCUGAGGCACGAAAGCUAGGGUAGCGAACGGGAUUAGAUACCCCGGUAGUCCUAGCCGUAAACGAUGAGCACUGGAUUGGAGGUCCUCCAUAGCCUUCCAGUCGCAACGAAAGCGUUAAGUGCUCCGCCUGGGGAGUAUGGUCGCAAAGGCUG
rnacentral:rRNA from 1 species